CUACGGGAGGCUGCAGUGGGGAAUAUUGGACAAUGGGCGCAAGCCUGAUCCAGCAAUGCCGCGUGAGUGAAGACGGCCUUAGGGUUGUAAAACUCUUUCGCUAGGGAAGAUAAUGACUGUACCUAGUAAAUAAGUCCCGGCUAACUCCGUGCCAGCAGCCGCGGUAAUACGGAGGGGACUAGCGUGUGUCGGAAUUACUGGGCGUAAAGAGUUCGUAGGCGGACUGACAAGUUAGAGGUGAAAUCCCAGGGCUCAACCCUGGAACUGCCUUUAAAACUGUCAGUCUAGAGACCGGAAGAGGUUAGGGGAAUACCGAGUGUAGAGGUGAAAUUCGUAGAUAUUAGGUGGAACACCAGUGGCGAAGGCGCCUAACUGGUCCGGUACUGACGCUGAGGAACGAAAGCGUGGGGAGCAAACAGGAUUAUAUACCCCGGUAGUC
rnacentral:rRNA from 1 species